AUUGAACGCUGGCGGCAGGCUUAACACAUGCAAGUCGAGCGAGCGGCGGACGGGUGAGUAAUGUCUGGGAAACUGCCUGAUGGAGGGGGAUAACUACUGGAAACGGUAGCUAAUACCGCAUACCAUCAGAUGUGCCCAGAUGGGAUUAGCUAGUAGGUGGGGUAAUGGCUCACCUAGGCGACGAUCCCUAGCUGGUCUGAGAGGAUGACCAGCCAAACUGGAACUGGGAAAAGGUUCAGACUCCCACGGGAGGCAGCAGGGGGGGAUAUUGCAACAUGGGGGCAAGCCUGAUUCAGCCAUGCCGCGUGUGUGAAGAAGGCCUUCGGGUUGUAAAGCACUUUCAGCGAGGAGGCGUUACUCGCAGAAGAAGCACCGGCUAACUCCGUGCCAGCAGCCGCGGUAAUUC
rnacentral:rRNA from 1 species